UAGAGUCGGUUUCCCUUCCGCAGGUAUGUUUGGACUGAGUGAAAUGUUUGAUUGUAUUACCCCUGAAUGGCUGGUUUCCUAUUGUGAUUUAGCUAACGUUCAAGUUUCCUGUGACAGGAAUAAAUUACAGGGCUUAUUCGAUCCCCUAGCCCACACUUUCACAAACAGCCUGGUGGGAGACUAUGGAAGGGCGUGCACAUGCCCAGUGGCUGGAGUGGGAAGAGGAGGAUGGGUAAGGCAUGCUCCCUCCCCAGCUGAGGGAUCCAAACCUUACAAGAGAGUGGGAGGAGGGGCAGAGGCUCAGGUGGAGGUGUUGCAGGUGCGCUUAACAGAGACCAAGCUUCCCAGUGCUCGGUGCAGUGAAAACAGUACUGGUUUGGGAGUCACAGAAAGCAGUAAAGUGGAAAGAUAAAAUACUUUGGUCAGACAGAUGAGAAAUCUUGGCUCUACCAUUUAUUAGUCACGUGACCUUGGGUUUGAACAGUUGUCUGUAUGGGAAACAACAGCCAACAGGUUUAAUUCAUGAGCUGGGACUUCUUUAAGUUGAAGAGUUACAAGUAAUCAAGAAGGAUUCCAGGUCUUUGUGGGGCUUCCAUAGGAUAAUGCACGUAAAGCCCUUAGCUCCAGCCCAGCACAAACCAAGAGCUCCACAGACAGCAGG